AGCCAGACACAGAAACUGCAUUCCAGACACUCUGACUUUUUUCCCCCCCCUUACUUGGCAGGUGCAGCACCUGGUGCCUGGCUUGCCAUGUUCUCUCCU